rnacentral:rRNA from 1 species
GCCCUAGUAACGGCGAAGUGAAGCGGCAACAGCUCAAAUUUGAAAUCUGGCUCUUUCAGAGUCCGAGUUGUAAUUUGCAGAGGGCGCUUUGGCGUUGGCAGCGGUCCAAGUUCCUUGGAACAGGACGUCACAGAGGGUGAGAAUCCCGUACGUGGUCGCUGGCCUUCGCCGUGUAAAGCCCCUUCGACGAGUCGAGUUGUUUGGGAAUGCAGCUCUAAAUGGGAGGUAAAUUUCUUCUAAAGCUAAAUACUGGCCAGAGACCGAUAGCGCACAAGUAGAGUGAUCGAAAGAUGAAAAGCACUUUGGAAAGAGAGUCAAAUAGCACGUGAAAUUGUUGAAAGGGAAGCGCUUGCAGCCAGACUUGCCUGUAGUUGCUCAUCCGGGCUUUUGCCCGGUGCACUCUUCUGUAGGCAGGCCAGCAUCAGUUUGGACGGUUGGAUAAAGGACUCUGUCACGUACCUCCUUUCGGGGAGGCCUUAUAGGGGAGUCGUCAUGCAACCAGUCUGGACUGAGGUCCGCGCAUCUGCUAGGAUGCUGGCGUAAUGGCUGUAAGCGGCCCGUCUUGAAACACGGACCAAGGAGUCUAACAUCUAUGCGAGUGUUUGGGUGUCAAGCCCGAGCGCGUAAUGAAAGUGAACGGAGGUGGGAUCCCGUAAGGGUGCACCAUCGACCGAUCCUGAUGUCUUCGGAUGGAUUUGAGUAAGAGCAUGGCUGUUGGGACCCGAAAGAUGGUGAACUAUGCUUGAAUAGGGUGAAGCCAGAGGAAACUCUGGUGGAGGCUCGCAGCGGUUCUGACGUGCAAAUCGAUCGUCAAAUUUGGGCAUAGGGGCGAAAGACUAAU